rnacentral:rRNA from 1 species
UAAUGUGGCCAAAGCUCCUUGUUAAAGCUCGAUCUCAUCAGAUCUCAGAAGCUAAGCAGGGCUGGGCCUGGUUAUUACUCGGAUGGAGAGCACCAUGUGCCGCAGUGA